CACUGGGUUAAGCAUUUCCUGAGCUAAGGGCUGCCUACGGCUCCGAGGCCCUGGAAAUGUAAAGAUGAAAAAUACUCCUGAUUCUUGAGUGAUGCACAAUCCAAUAGAAGAUUAGACAUAAGAAGAAAUGUGACACAUGCAUGAAAGAACAUAAUAACACAGAUGCUUUUACAAGGAGAAUCUUCUGGCUAAAGGUUAGGGGGAUGUAGCAAUUCAUGAAUUCAGAGGAGUGAGAAUCACUUCAAACUAUAAAGAUUGAGCAAGGUUUUAUUGAAGAAGAGUCAGGAUGUUAACUGGAUCUCAAAGGGCUUGGGAGAGGAGAGAAGACAGAAAAAAGUAAGGAAAAUGCAACCCAGGGUCAGUGGCAGUAAGCAGAACACCUUGGCCGAAAUAUGAAUUUGAGGAAGGUAAGUUAAGAGUUAAAACUGGAAAUAUAGGCAGGGAGCAAAUUGUAGGGUUUUAAUGCUGCUGUUGUUUACCAUAAAACUAAAAGCUAAACUUUCAGUAAAUUAAGCUAAUCAAAUUCCAGAAAGUUUUUGUGUGGAGAGAGUUCCCUAUGGGAGGGGGGAUCUCCAUAGGCUGCUAAAUUUUUAUCAUAAAGUAAGUCUUACUGCCAGAAAAAAGUCACUGUAAUAAUAACCUAGUAGGGUUCCACAUGUAUCCCAAUACAGUAAUGUCCACAUCAAAUUUGCA